GAUGAACGCUGGCGGCGUGCCUAAUACAUGCAAGUCGAGCGAACAGACGAGGAGCUUGCUCCUCUGACGUUAGCGGCGGACGGGUGAGUAACACGUGGAUAACCUACCUAUAAGACUGGGAUAACUUCGGGAAACCGGAGCUAAUACCGGAUAAUAUAUUGAACCGCAUGGUUCAAUAGUGAAAGACGGUUUUGCUGUCACUUAUAGAUGGAUCCGCGCCGCAUUAGCUAGUUGGUAAGGUAACGGCUUACCAAGGCAACGAUGCGUAGCCGACCUGAGAGGGUGAUCGGCCACACUGGAACUGAGACACGGUCCAGACUCCUACGGGAGGCAGCAGUAGGGAAUCUUCCGCAAAGGGCGAAAGCCUGACGGAGCAACGCCGCGUGAGUGAUGAAGGUCUUCGGAUCGUAAAACUCUGUUAUUAGGGAAGAACAAAUGUGGAAGUAACUAUGCACGUCUUGACGGUACCUAAUCAGAAAGCCACGGCUAACUACGUG
rnacentral:rRNA from 1 species